GGAUUCUGAAAGUUUGAGCUUUGAUUGUUUUAACGAGGACGGAAUCCUCUGUUUGAUAUUAUCUUCACUGAAGUUGAAAGAAGCAAUACGGACUUGUGUUCUAUCUCACAGAUGGAAGCACAUCUGGACAUACCUCCCAACAUUAUGUUUUAAUAUGGAAAACAUACUUGAUGAUGAGACUCUAGAACUCUAUAAAAGCUUUCUCACGGUUAAAGACAAAUCUUAUUUACUCUUGG
rnacentral:misc_RNA from 1 species